rnacentral:rRNA from 1 species
CCUACGGGUGGCAGCAGUGAGGAAUAUUGGUCAAUGGACGAAAGUCUGAACCAGCCAUGCCGCGUGCAGGAAGACGGCUCUAUGAGUUGUAAACUGCUUUUGUACGAGGGUAAACGAAGAUAUGCGUAUCUGUCUGAAAGUAUCGUACGAAUAAGGAUCGGCUAACUCCGUGCCAGCAGCCGAGGUAAUACGGAGGAUUCAAGCGUUAUCCGGAUUUAUUGGGUUUAAAGGGAGCGUAGGCGGUCGGUUAAGUUAGAGGUGAAAGCCCGAGGCUCAACCUCGGAAUUGCCUCUGAUACUGUCCGGCUAGAGAGUAGUUGCGGUAGGCGGAAUGUAUGGUGUAGCGGUGAAAUGCUUAGAGAUCAUACAGAACACCGAUUGCGAAGGCAGCUUACCGAGCUACUUCUGACGUUGAGGCUCGAAAGCGUGGGGAGCAAACAGGAUUAGAUACCCGAGUAGUC